UACGUAGGGUGCGAGCGUUGUCCGGAAUUACUGGGCGUAAAGAGCUCGUAGGUGGUUUGUCGCGUUGUUCGUGAAAACCGGGGGCUUAACCCUCGGCGUGCGGGCGAUACGGGCAGACUUGAGUACUGCAGGGGAGACUGGAAUUCCUGGUGUAGCGGUGGAAUGCACAGAUAUCAGGAGGAACACCGGUGGCGAAGGCGGGUCUCUGGGCAGUAACUGACGCUGAGGAGCGAAAGCGUGGGGAGCGAACAGG
rnacentral:rRNA from 1 species